UACGUAGGGGGCCAGCGUUAUCCGGAUUCACUGGGUUUAAAGGGUGCGUAGGUGGGUAGGUAAGUCAGUGGUGAAAUCUUCGAGCUUAACUCGGAAACUGCCAUUGAUACUAUCUGUCUUGAAUACCGUGGAGGUGAGCGGAAUAUGUCAUGUAGCGGUGAAAUGCUUAGAUAUGACAUAGAACACCAAUUGCGAAGGCAGCUCACUACACGAAUAUUGACACUGAGGCACGAAAGCGUGGGGAUCAAACAGG
rnacentral:rRNA from 1 species